CGGUGGAGCAUGUGGUUUAAUUCGACGCUACGCGAAGAACCUUACCUGGGCUUGAACUGCUGGAGGUAGGAGCCCGAAAGGGUGACGACCCGGAGCAAUCCGGGAACCAGCAGAGGUGCUGCAUGGUUGUCGUCAGCUCGUGUCGUGAGAUGUUGGGUUAAGUCCCGCAACGAGCGCAACCCCUAUUGCCAGUUGCCAGCAUGAAAGAUGGGCACUCUGGCGAGACUGCCGUUGACAAAACGGAGGAAGGUGGGGAUGACGUCAAAUCAUCAUGCCCCUUAUGUCCUGGGCUACACACGUACUACAAUGGCAACAACAGAGGGCAGCCAGGCCGCGAGGUUGAGCGAAUCCCAAAAUGUUGUCUCAGUUCAGAUUGCAGGCUGCAACUCGCCUGCAUGAAGUCGGAAUUGCUAGUAAUGGCAGGUCAGCAUACUGCCGUGAAUACGUUCCCGGGCCUU
rnacentral:rRNA from 1 species